GAGGAGACACAUGCGGAGCUAACAAUCCCGUAACCGUGGCUCAGUUCAGAUCGUAGGCUGCAACUCGCCUACGUGAAGGAGGAAUCGCUAGUAAUCGCAGGUCAGCAUACUGCGGUGAAUACGUUCCCGGGCCUUGUACACACCGCCCGUCACACCAUGGAAGUUGGCCACGCCCGAAGCCGUUACUCCAACCCUUGUGGAGGAGGACGUCGAAGGUGGGGCUGAUGACUGGGGUGAAGUCGUAACAAGGUAGCCGUACCGGAAGGUGCGGCUGGAUCACCUCCUAA
rnacentral:rRNA from 1 species